GUGAAUGUCUGCACGUUCCCACACACAGCACCAGGUGCUCCGGACCAUGCUAGGCCCUGGGGCUUAAAAGAAGACUAAGGGUUUUUUCCUUCCCGUAGGAAGCUAGUAGCCUCAGUUUGCUCAUCUGUAAAAUGGGAAUAAUAAUGGUACUUACCACAUAAGGUUAUCGUGAGGAUUAAAUGAAAUACCAUGUAAAGUUCUUACCACAGAGCCUGGCAUAUGGUGGGUGCUCAAUAAGUGGCAGGUGUCAUUGUUAUAAGUGUUAAUAUUACUCUGGUGGGGGAGACUACACAUGGAGAAACACAUAUGUUGUGGACCGGACUGGACCUUCGCAAACUGAGUGGGUCCUGGCCUUGUAUGAAUUGGUGUUUGCCCCUGAACCUGCUGCUCCACCUCCGGCUCACCCCAGAGUAACCCCCAGGAUCCAGACGGACCCAUCCAUCUACCGGAGGGGACUCCAAGCCCCCAGGGAGAGGCAGGAAUGGUCGAUGGGGAAACUGAGGCAACCAUUUGUCCAAGACCACUCAGUAAGCGAGUGGAGAUGCCAGGAUUCAAGCCCAGGGACUCCGACUCCAGAGGCAGCCUCGUGGUGAACAAUGGAGCAUCGGUGUGGAGGCAGGAGCAUGCCUGGGGCGACCUCCCGCGGGCCCUCCUAAAGGCCCCCACAGCGAGCUUUAGGUUUCCGGUAAGGUUACGGUACAGCUCUCCCAUGGCUGGACUGUGCCCCUCUCCUGAUCAUUGCUGAAGGAUCCAGGCCUUAGCUGAGCAUGCUGCCGGCCUUUCUGUCCCCAACAUUUUCAUAGGAUCUGAGGAUUACGCCUGGAAGAGGAAAAUGAGCCAGAAGCGGACUCAUUCAUAGUCCCUUUCCUGUGUAUGGAUGAACCUCAGCAUAGUGGAGAUGCUACAUGAGGUGACAGAUGCCACCACCGUCCCUGCCUUCAGGUGGAGGUGGGAGGACUGAUCUGAAGGCUUUCUUGGACACAGGACUUCUUGGGACCCUGGAGAUCAUAUGGCCACAUGGUCCAUCUCAGCCGGGAUGGGAAGACUCGCAUGUGGAUCCUGACUCUCCUGCACACCUGGGCUGCAGACAUUGGGUUCAGGUGGAGGAGGCAUCCUAGACGUCCCCGCUCUCAGAUUCCGUGAUCCUGAGUUGAACCCACCGCAGCAGAAGACUCACUGUAUGACUGGUCUCCUAGAUUCCCACCCAGGUCUGACCACACAGCCAUUCCCUCACCCUCAGAAUCCUCCAUUAGCCCCUCUACACACCCUGCGUCUGGAAGGAAGUCUUCUCUGGGGUCUGCCCCUGAGUCUUCCUGCCCACAAUUCCAG
rnacentral:lncRNA from 1 species